UUUGAGUCAGUCAAACAAACUAAUCGAUUCCAAUCACCUCUCUUUUCGUUCCUUCGAUCCGGCGAAUGCUCGGAACCAAAUCAUCUCCGUCGGUCGGAGGAUCUCCGAGGUGAGGAGCCGGCCCGCCAUGGAGGGCGGACCGAUCCCACUGCGCACCGGUCCCUAGAGGCGGCCGCAGCCGAGGUAUCAGCUGCUUCGGACUCGUCGACCAUGCUGAGGGUUCGGCUAGGACUGGUGGACUUCUCACCAACAACAUAUUAAGUCUUCAUCCAUCCACCUCCGCGACAGUAAUAUGGCACAACAUAAGGGAAAAGUCUGAAUCACGGGAGAAGAAAGAAAUGUUACAGAAGCUACCUUUGAGGAAGAGUUCAUUGAAGAGAAUGCAUCUGACCCUCUCUGAUCAUCGUGAACCUCUUUAGGGGCGACCUGAGAACACAUCACCAGCCAGCACCAGCAGGAGCCAUUCGAGGGUGGUGCAUGUGCUCACAGAUCGCUCCUGUUGGAACCCUGUCUCCAACCCUUCCUCUGCUGCAGCGGCUGCCGUUGUUGCUUCUGAUAUUUUUGAGAUUAUGCUUCUGUUUAUACUGCAGCUCCCUCGGGAAACUUGUACUCCAACAGUUUGUGGUGUACUGGAAGCAGCGUUUUUGAUAAAGAGGGAGUACAGUUUGAUAGUACCAUUCUAAUCCAUGCACAUCAAACGAUAAUUUCUUUCUUUUUUUUCA